GAAUAGUGUUCUAACCCGGUAUAUUAUAAUACAUUGCUAUGCGAAAAAUCAAUACGCGAGCUAUAUGAAUAAAACGAAUAUAAGAAAAAUCAACUCGUCGUGGUCGAACGUCCCCAUUUACUAAUUCUAUAUUUUAAUUGGAAAUAUAUUACGUUAGACGCUGUGCUGCGGAUUAUGCAAUACUGUAUGUUAAAGAAUAAGUAUUUAACAGCUAUUUUUAAAACAUGACAGGAGAUUUAAUUUUUUUUUCG